UGAGGAAUAUUGGUCAAUGGGCGAGAGCCUGAACCAGCCAAAUCGCGUGAAGGAUGACGGCCCUAUGGGUUGUAAACUUCUUUUGCAGGGGAAUAAAGAUAUUCACGUGUGGGUAGUUGUAUGUACCCUGCGAAUAAGCAUCGGCUAACUCCGUGCCAGCAGCCGCGGUAAUACGGAGGAUGCGAGCGUUAUCCGGAUUUAUUGGGUUUAAAGGGUGCGUAGGUGGGCUAUUAAGUCAGUGGUGAAAGUUUGUCGCUCAACGAUAAAAUUGCCGUUGAAACUGGUGGUCUUGAGUAUGGAUGAAGUAGGCGGAAUGCGUGGUGUAGCGGUGAAAUGCAUAGAGAUCACGCAGAACUCCGAUUGCGAAGGCAGCUUACUAAGGCAUAACUGACACUGAAGCACGAAAGCGUGGGUAUCAAACAGGAUUAGAUACCCUGGUAGUCCACGCAGUAAACGAUGAUUACUAGGAGUUUGCGAUAUAGUGNAAGCUCUACAGCGAAAGCGUUAAGUAAUCCACCUGGGGAGUACGCCGGCNACGGUG
rnacentral:rRNA from 1 species